AUGGCAAGAGAUAUUAAGAUGGACGAAGAUCAAUUCUGCUCUUCACCAUACAGCAUUGGAAAAUUACAAUUUUCAAGAUUGGUCGACAUUGGCAGGGGAAUGUUGGCAAUGAUAUGGUGGCUUAAAUUUGACCGAAGAAAUUUUCACCAAGUGGCUGCUGAAGGCCUGUGUGAUGGAGUUCUUGUAACAUCACUGCUUGAUGGUUGA
rnacentral:lncRNA from 1 species